AGAUUAACCGUAAUAAACGAGGGACGACUAUACCCCUGGGUCUCUACUAAGUGUCCCAUGCCAGAACAGACUGUGGCCUUGAACCAUCGCCUGGUCUCUGCCUGUAGGCUGUAGGCACUGAAGUGAGUUGUACAGUG